UAUAAUAUUUUGACUCUUCGUAUUAUUUUAAUUUUUUUUAUGUUUAAUAUUUUUUAUUCUUGCUAGAUGAUAAAACAUGAAUAAUACUUUAUACGUGACUAAUUUUUUUAAGUUUUUGUACAAAUUUUUCAAAUGAGACGAAUGAUCAAACGUUAGACACGUAAAAAC
rnacentral:pre_miRNA from 1 species